CAGAGGUGGUGUUGUUGAAUGCAGAGAGGGACAAACUCACACAGGAGCUCAAAUGCACACUGGAACUACAGCAGCAGCGUAUGUACACAAACCUCAAUCUCAGUGUCUGCUGGAGAUUGUAAAGAGAGUUGCACACUGUUGCACACUGCAGGAGAGAGAGAGCUGGUACACUUGAAGUAAGCUCUGUAACAAAGCAGGGAGGAAUUGGAGGCAUCAGAAUCGAGCCGAAUGGAGAUGCAGAGACAAUGUGAAGAGAAUGAGGGGACCAUUGUGAAGCUCCAUGCUGAGAACCAGAGACUGUAGCAGCAGUGUGACUCAGUUUUACAAAAGGUAUCAGUAUUUGAGAACGUGUGUGCAGAGAAGCUCAGGGACAUGGAGGCUCAACUCAACUCAGCAAGGAGAGAGCACACAAAAGCAGGCAGUGGUUCAGGAACAGGGUUUGAUGAAUGAAUAUAAAAGACAAUCAGAAGAUCAGCAAUUCAGACAACCGAGGCCCUGAAACAAAAGCAUCAUCCUCAGUCAGAGAGCAGCAAUCCUUCAACACCUGAAAGUCUGCUGGGGGCACCUGCAGGUUCUUAGUGCUGCAGUAAUGGGCAAUUUAGAGGAAGAGGAUGAUGAGGAGGGUCAGGCCAGGCCUUCACUGUGACACAAACACCCUCUUGUGCUGACACACAUAAAGAAUAGUGCUGAACACACCAAUCAAUUCUCUCUCACACACACUCGCUGUCUGUCCAACCCCUCUCAUGGGGUUUGAUGUCUGUUUUAUAAUUUAAUAAAAUAGAUUUUUAUUGGAAAUUAUCCCAUAUCCUUGAGAGUUAUGAAAAUGAGAAGCUGCCAUUAGUCACAAAAUAAUCAUCUAGGAUGAGUGAUAUCACUGAAACCACCUGUCAUUUUAGAAAAUAAGUUAUUCAUUAUUUAGCAGGAUUUUUUUUCAGAGCAACUCAUAGUUCAUUUACUACAAGGACCACAGAGAAACUUAGCAAUUCCAGUACAGACCCCUUGCAGUGUAUGAUCCUGUGCUAGCAGCACACAACACAUUUACUACAGUUCAAAUGUUUGGGGUCGUUAAGAUUUUUGAAGCCAUUUUCUAUUUUAAUAGAUUUUCAAAUGUAAUUCCUGAUCAUGGCAAAGCUGAAUUUUCAGCAGUCAUUACGCCAGUUUUCAGUGUCACAUAAUCUUUCAGAAACCAUUCUAAUAUGCUUCUUAUUUGGUGAUCAAGAAUCACUUCUUUAUCUUAUUAUUAUUAUUAUUAAUGUUGAAAACAGCUGUGCUACAUUAAUAUUUUCAAAAUUCUAAGUGUUACUGUGACUUUUGACCAUUUUAGUGCAUCCUUG
ensembl:lncRNA